GAUGAACGCUGGCGGCGUGCCUAACACAUGCAAGUCGAACGGAGUUUUAACGCUGCAGAGGUUUCGGCCAAAGCUUGUUAAAACUUAGUGGCGGACGGGUGAGUAACGCGUGGGCAACCUGCCUCGUACCGGGGGAUAACAGUUGGAAACGGCUGUUAAUACCGCAUAAGCGCACGGUAUCGCAUGAUACAGUGUGAAAAACUCCGGUGGUACGAGAUGGGCCCGCGUCAGAUUAGCUAGUUGGCGGGGUAACGGCCCACCAAGGCGACGAUCUGUAGCCGGACUGAGAGGUCGGACGGCCACAUUGGGACUGAGACACGGCCCAAACUCC
rnacentral:rRNA from 1 species